UAAGUUAUUAAGGGCGCACGGUGGAUGCCUUGGCACUAGAAGCCGAUGAAGGACGUUACUAACGACGAUAUGCUUUGGGGAGCUGUAAGUAAGCUUUGAUCCAGAGAUUUCCGAAUGGGGAAACCCAGCAUGAGUUAUGUCAUGUUAUCGAUAUGUGAAUACAUAGCAUAUCAGAAGGCACACCCGGAGAACUGAAACAUCUUAGUACCCGGAGGAAGAGAAAGAAAAUUCGAUUCCCUUAGUAGCGGCGAGCGAAACGGGAAGAGCCCAAACCAACAAGCUUGCUUGUUGGGGUUGUAGGACACUCUAUACGGAGUUACAAAGGACGACAUUAGACGAAUCAUCUGGAAAGAUGAAUCAAAGAAGGUAAUAAUCCUGUAGUCGAAAAUGUUGUCUCUCUUGAGUGGAUCCUGAGUACGACGGAGCACGUGAAAUUCCGUCGGAAUCUGGGAGGACCAUCUCCUAAGGCUAAAUACUCUCUAGUGACCGAUAGUGAACCAGUACCGUGAGGGAAAGGUGAAAAGCACCCCGGAAGGGGAGUGAAAUAGAACCUGAAACCGUGUGCUUACAAGUAGUCAGAGCCCGUUAAUGGGUGAUGGCGUGCCUUUUGUAGAAUGAACCGGCGAGUUACGAUUUGAUGCAAGGUUAAGCAGUAAAUGUGGAGCCGUAGCGAAAGCGAGUCUGAAUAGGGCGUUUAGUAUUUGGUCGUAGACCCGAAACCAGGUGAUCUACCCUUGGUCAGGUUGAAGUUCAGGUAACACUGAAUGGAGGACCGAACCGACUUACGUUGAAAAGUGAGCGGAUGAACUGAGGGUAGCGGAGAAAUUCCAAUCGAACCUGGAGAUAGCUGGUUCUCUCCGAAAUAGCUUUAGGGCUAGCCUCAAGUGAUGAUUAUUGGAGGUAGAGCACUGUUUGGACGAGGGGCCCCUCUCGGGUUACCGAAUUCAGACAAACUCCGAAUGCCAAUUAAUUUAACUUGGGAGUCAGAACAUGGGUGAUAAGGUCCGUGUUCGAAAGGGAAACAGCCCAGACCACCAGCUAAGGUCCCAAAAUAUAUGUUAAGUGGAAAAGGAUGUGGCGUUGCCCAGACAACUAGGAUGUUGGCUUAGAAGCAGCCAUCAUUUAAAGAGUGCGUAAUAGCUCACUAGUCGAGUGACACUGCGCCGAAAAUGUACCGGGGCUAAACAUAUUACCGAAGCUGUGGAUUGUCCUUUGGACAAUGGUAGGAGAGCGUUCUAAGGGCGUUGAAGCAUGAUCGUAAGGACAUGUGGAGCGCUUAGAAGUGAGAAUGCCGGUGUGAGUAGCGAAAGACGGGUGAGAAUCCCGUCCACCGAUUGACUAAGGUUUCCAGAGGAAGGCUCGUCCGCUCUGGGUUAGUCGGGUCCUAAGCUGAGGCCGACAGGCGUAGGCGAUGGAUAACAGGUUGAUAUUCCUGUACCACCUAUAAUCGUUUUAAUCGAUGGGGGGACGCAGUAGGAUAGGCGAAGCGUGCGAUUGGAUUGCACGUCUAAGCAGUAAGGCUGAGUAUUAGGCAAAUCCGGUACUCGUUAAGGCUGAGCUGUGAUGGGGAGAAGACAUUGAGUCUUCGAGUCGUUGAUUUCACACUGCCGAGAAAAGCCUCUAGAUAGAAAAUAGGUGCCCGUACCGCAAACCGACACAGGUAGUCAAGAUGAGAAUUCUAAGGUGAGCGAGCGAACUCUCGUUAAGGAACUCGGCAAAAUGACCCCGUAACUUCGGGAGAAGGGGUGCUCUUUAGGGUUAACGCCCAGAAGAGCCGCAGUGAAUAGGCCCAAGCGACUGUUUAUCAAAAACACAGGUCUCUGCUAAACCGUAAGGUGAUGUAUAGGGGCUGACGCCUGCCCGGUGCUGGAAGGUUAAGAGGAGUGGUUAGCUUCUGCGAAGCUACGAAUCGAAGCCCCAGUAAACGGCGGCCGUAACUAUAACGGUCCUAAGGUAGCGAAAUUCCUUGUCGGGUAAGUUCCGACCCGCACGAAAGGCGUAACGAUUUGGGCACUGUCUCAACGAGAGACUCGGUGAAAUCAUAGUACCUGUGAAGAUGCAGGUUACCCGCGACAGGACGGAAAGACCCCGUGGAGCUUUACUGUAGCCUGAUAUUGAAAUUCGGCACAGCUUGUACAGGAUAGGUAGGAGCCUUUGAAACGUGAGCGCUAGCUUACGUGGAGGCGCUGGUGGGAUACUACCCUAGCUGUGUUGGCUUUCUAACCCGCACCACUUAUCGUGGUGGGAGACAGUGUCAAGCGGGCAGUUUGACUGGGGCGGUCGCCUCCUAAAAGGUAACGGAGGCGCUCAAAGGUUCCCUCAGAAUGGUUGGAAAUCAUUCAUAGAGUGUAAAGGCAUAAGGGAGCUUGACUGCGAGACCUACAAGUCGAGCAGGGUCGAAAGACGGACUUAGUGAUCCGGUGGUUCCGCAUGGAAGGGCCAUCGCUCAACGGAUAAAAGCUACCCCGGGGAUAACAGGCUUAUCUCCCCCAAGAGUUCACAUCGACGGGGAGGUUUGGCACCUCGAUGUCGGCUCAUCGCAUCCUGGGGCUGUAGUCGGUCCCAAGGGUUGGGCUGUUCGCCCAUUAAAGCGGUACGCGAGCUGGGUUCAGAACGUCGUGAGACAGUUCGGUCCCUAUCCGUCGUGGGCGUAGGAAAUUUGAGAGGAGCUGUCCUUAGUACGAGAGGACCGGGAUGGACAUACCUCUGGUGUACCAGUUGUCGUGCCAACGGCAUAGCUGGGUAGCUAUGUGUGGACGGGAUAAGUGCUGAAAGCAUCUAAGCAUGAAGCCCCCCUCAAGAUGAGAUUUCCCAACUUCGGUUAUAAGAUCCCUCAAAGAUGAUGAGGUUAAUAGGUUCGAGGUGGAAGCAUGGUGACAUGUGGAGCUGACGAAUACUAAUCGAUCGAAGACUUAAUCA
rnacentral:rRNA from 1 species